UGCACCGGUUCUCGUCCAAUCACUGAAGUUAAGCAACGUUGAGCCUUGUCAAUACCUAGAUGGUUAAAUGCUUGGGAAUAACAGGUGCUGUAA